rnacentral:rRNA from 1 species
UACGAAGGGGGCUAGCGUUGUUCGGAAUUACUGGGCGUAAAGCGCACGUAGGCGGGUUGUUAAGUCAGGGGUGAAAUCCUGGAGCUCAACUCCAGAACUGCCUUUGAUACUGGCAACCUAGAGACUGGAAGAGGUUAGUGGAAUUCCCAGUGUAGAGGUGAAAUUCGUAGAUAUUGGGAAGAACACCAGUGGCGAAGGCGGCUAACUGGUCCAGCACUGACGCUGAGGUGCGAAAGCUAGGGGAGCAAACAGG